rnacentral:misc_RNA from 1 species
UUUCCGUAGGUGAACCUGCGGAAGGAUCAUUAAUAAUAAGUGAUGUAUGGAAAUUUUGUAAACCCAUAUCCACUUCGUGAGGAAUGGCAGGGAGGAUAUUUAGCGCGAGAGGAACAGACUCAAAAAUCAACUAUAACACAACUAUUGGAACGAAAAAUAUGAUGAAAAAAAUAAUUCAGAAUAAAACUUUCAACAACGGAUACUUCGGCCCACGCAUCGACGAAGAAAGUAGAAGAUCGGAAGAGCACACAGCUGAACGAAAGUAAGCAAGAGUCCUUU